GUGAAAGUAAGUUGGAAAAAUGGAGUUUCGAGCGAACAAACGCAUUAAACUAAGUAGCCAAAAGGGUCCAAGUCCCCUUGAUCUCGCAAGAACGUACUGCCAGAAUUACGUUGAUCCACCAGGUUUUGAAGUAAAAACCGUCAAUGAUGUCAUAGGCGAAGGAGUCUUCGCCACUAAGCCUUUUAAAAAACGGAGACUCUCUUCUCGAAUACAAAGGGGAUCUGAUAACACGAGCAAAACGGCAAUUAGAAAAGGAGUAUGAAAAGGAGGGUCAUGACAGCUUCAUUUACUUUUUUAAAUACAGAGACAAAUCUUGAUGCAUUGACGCUACCAACGAUAUAUUUCAUGAGGGUCAAAUGAUAAAUGAUGCCGAAAAUGGAGACGCAAAACAAAUUUGUGUAAUGAAAAUAGUUGAAGUCAACCAAACUCCCCACCUAUGCACUUUCGCCGACAGAGACAUUGUAAUUGGCGAGGAACUCCGAUAUGAUUAUGGAGUACCAA